CCAGGCCGCAACUCCAAUUAAUUAGCAUCUCGCAACCGAAGGGCAGAAGCGCGGCGCGAUCAGCGGGCGCGAGGUGAGGCGUGGUCGCUGUAGAUGUCUCCCGGUUCUGGGCGGGCGCCUCUCUCGGCCUCGCACGGCACGUCUUCCACGUUGGGCUAUGGCGCUGCUGACGGGGGCGCAAGAAAACGGGCGGCUGGUGGUGACCUGGGGGCUGCGGGAGAGGCGAGCGCCAUGGGUUCCUGUUACGGCAGCCGGAACUGGAAACCGGAGGUCGAAAUGAACGGGAGCGGUAUCGAUGGUAGGCAAUCACAGAAUCAGAACGACACACCGAGGUUGCUGACUCUUCCGACGGUUCUCACUAUCGGCCGGGUGGUCGCCGUCCCCAUCCUCGUGAGCACUUUCUACAUGGAUGGUUCGCUGGGAACAACUGUUACAACAAUCAUAUUUCUUCUUGCUGCAAUCACAGAUUGGCUAGAUGGUUAUAUUGCACGUAAGUUGAGACUAGGAACAGCAUUUGGUGCAUUUUUGGAUCCUGUGGCCGACAAGCUUAUGGUUGCUGCGACAUUGGUUUUACUCUGCACCAAACCUUUGGAGUGUGCUGUGUUUAGAGAAUUUCAUUGGCUUCUGACAGCACCUUCAAUUGCUAUAAUUGGUAGAGAGAUAACUAUGUCAGCUGUUAGAGAGUGGGCAGCAUCACAGAAUAGUAGAGUUAUUGAGAUCUUAAUAACAGGCUGUAGCAGUAAAUAAUCUGGGAAAGUGGAAAACAGCAACGCAAAUGACUUCACUAACUAUUCUUCUUGCAAGUAGAGAUCCCAGACUCAAACAGCAGUGUGUUUUCGUCGCCUUUGGUGUCGCUUUGCUUUAUGCUUCAGCUGGUCUUGCUGUGUGGUCGCUAAUCAUCUACAUGAGAAAGAUAUGGAGAGUUUUGCUCAAGUAGUUAUCUUCCAGUGGAACGCAAGCAUACAAAGAAUGAAUCACACAAAAAGACAAUGGGGAUUUUAGUCGUGUCCCGACGCUGUGUCAACAAAAACUCUGAGAUUCUUUGCAUCAUAAACCCUAUUGCACUGAUGGCAUUUCAAGAUCUUGCAAAGGAUUGGUUAUGAGAUGCUAACAGACUAGAGAUGCUUCUUUUUUCUUCAGAAGACUGCUGUUUAACAUGACUAAUGGUAUUUAUAGAUUGGUUGGAAGAGAAAAUUGAAGAUCUUUCGUACUUAAAUGUUUGAAGAUCUGACAACUAUAUACUCUUAUGAGACUCAUAAUGACUUGAUAUGCAUGGGUUCUUUA